GCAUCUAUCGUUUUUAUCAGCUUUGGAGUGGUGGCAGCUUUCUGUUGUGCAAUAGUUGACGGAGUAUUUGCGGCACGACAUAUAGAACCUCGACCAUUGUAUAACAGAAGGUGCCAGUUUUAUUCAAGUGGAAUAGGAUUCUUAUAUGAUGCCUACCAGACAGAGGUAAUGUGUUACACCUUAAACAGCAAAUGCCAGCUUAAAGUGAAAAGUAACACAUGCUACUGCUGUGACCUUUACAACUGUGAAAAGUAAG